rnacentral:rRNA from 1 species
GGGAAUUUUGGACAAUGGGGGCAACCCUGAUCCAGCCAUGCCGCGUGAGUGAAGAAGGCCUUCGGGUUGUAAAGCUCUUUCGGCCGGAACGAAAUCGCACGGGUGAAUAGCUCGUGUGGAUGACGGUACCGGAAUAAGAAGCACCGGCUAACUACGUGCCAGCAGCCGCGGUAAUACGUAGGGUGCGAGCGUUAAUCGGAAUUACUGGGCGUAAAGCGUGCGCAGGCGGUUUGUUAAGCCAGAUGUGAAAGCCCCGGGCUCAACCUGGGAACUGCGUUUGGUACUGGCAAGCUAGAGUACGGCAGAGGGGGGUGGAAUUCCACGUGUAGCAGUGAAAUGCGUAGAGAUGUGGAGGAACACCGAUGGCGAAGGCAGCCCCCUGGGCCGAUACUGACGCUCAGGCACGAAAGCGUGGGGAGCAAA